AACGAACGCUAGCGGGAUGCCUCAAACAUGCAAGUCGUACGCGAACGUCACCUUCGGGUGGCUAUUAGAGUGGCGCACGGGUGCGUAACACGUAGCUAACGUACCCCUUCGCUGGGGAUAACUCCGGGAAACCGGAGCUAAUACCGAAUGAACUGUCACGGUCUGCGGACUGUGCCGGUAAAGCCGUAAGGCGCGAAGGGAUCGGGCUGCGUCCCAUUAGCUUGUUGGUGGGGUAACGGCCUACCAAGGCAACGAUGGGUAGCUGGUCUGAGAGGAUGAUCAGCCACACUGGAACUGAAACACGGUCCAGACUCCCACGGGAGGCAGCAGUUGGGAAUAUUGGACAAUGGGGGAAACCCUGAUCCAGCAAUCCCGCGUGAGUGAUGAAGGCCCUCGGGUCGUAAAGCUCUUUCAACAGGGAAGAAGAUCUGACGUUACCUGUAGAAGAAGCACCGGCUAACUCCG
rnacentral:rRNA from 1 species